GGAUGUUACUGAGUGGACUCUACUUUUACACAAAGUUAUCAAGCAGAUGAGCCACAACUAAUACAGGUACAAUUGAUCAUGUUGCUCAUAGAAAAUCCAUAACUAAAAUCCAUAAUUGUAAAAACUAUUUCUGUCAUUCACAUGUCAGGUUCAAAAAUGAACUGUAAAGAAAUAUUACUAUCAAGUUUGGACACAUUAAAUGCCAAGAUUAUAAACUCGAUGACUCAAGUUUCCUCGGCCAGAAUAUUACAGAUUCUGUGGAAGUAGUACACCUUGAUGAGUUUCCUAUAAAUAUUCCAGGGACCAAAAGAAACUUUGAACUAGUCAGACAUGUUUCCUUGGUUGACUGUCCUGCCAUGAUAUUUUGAUGGCUACUUUGAUGAACGGUAUAGCAGUGAUGGAUGUGACCUUUCUGUUGAUAGCCGGCAAAGAAUCUUGUCCUCAACCUCAGACUCCUCUGAACACCUGGCUGCCAUAGAUAUUAUGAAGCUGAAACAUACUUUCAUUCUGUAAAAUAAAAUUAAUUUGGUAAAAGAAAGUAAGGCUAAAGAACAGUAUGAACAGAUCCUUUCAUUGUAUUAAUAUAAAGUAGAGUAGCAGAAGAGCCUCCUAUUAUUUUCAUUUCUGCUAAGCUGAAAUACAAUCUUGAAGUUGUCCGUGAGUAUAUAGCAAGGAAAAUUUCAGUACCUCCAAGAGACUUUACUUCAGAACCCCAACUUAUUGUUAUUAGGUCGUUUGAUGUUAACGAACCUGGCUGUGAUAUUGAUGAUAUUACCAGGGAGAACAACUGGUGGCAGUAUUUAAAAAGGUGUAUUAAAGGUGGUCCAGGAGACAGGAGUCAGACUUGGUAUUGUUCCCAAAAAUAGUGAAGGAAAACUCAUGUGUAAAACAAUCAUUUCCAAACUUGUAUCACUUUUUGCAGAAUACAAUGAUCCUCAGUACACUGCUCCAGGGAGUCUUACGGGAGUUGGAACAAAAAUUUACCCAACAUUCAUAGAAUGGCCGGGCAGGUGCUUGGUGCAGUUGGAGCUGUACCUAAGAUCGUCACAGGACCAGAAAUGUCCUAUUUACUGCUUAGACAGCUCUAGGUGUAUGUAUAGAAGAAGGCAAAAAAACAGAAAAAGUACAAAAGCUGUCCAUGAGCAAAGUUCUUAUAGUAAACAUACGAUCUCUGUCUACAGGAAGAAGAGAGUGCAGUCAAAGAUGAUUUGGGUAAAAUAGUUCUCACUAAUCCUGUGUGCACAAAAGUAGGAGAAAAAAAUUGCCCUUAGCCAAAGAGCUGAGAAACAUUAGCAUUUAAUUCGUUGGGAUCAGAUAGAAGAGGAGUGGCCAUGAAGCCAACAGUAGAUGAC
rnacentral:lncRNA from 1 species